UACGGAGGGUGCAAGCGUUGUUCGGAAUCACUGGGCGUAAAGGGCGUGUAGGCGGUCCGCUAAGUCUGAUGUGAAAGCCCGAGGCUUACCCUCGGAAGUGCAUUGGAGACUGGCGGACUGGAGUCCCGGAGAGGAGGGUGGAAUUCCUGGUGUAGCGGUGAAAUGCGUAGAUAUCAGGAGGAACACCGGUGGCGAAGGCGGCCCUCUGGACGGUGACUGACGCUGAGGAGCGAAAGCGUGGGGAGCAAACAGG
rnacentral:rRNA from 1 species